UAUAGAUAUCAGAAAAAAUGUCAGUAAAAUUGUUUCUAGUGGUGGUCGUUCUAGGACUUUGUAGUCAACAAAUUAGCAGUUUCCUCUUACCGGAUAUACACGUUUCAUGUCCAGCGGGAGGUAAUGCCCUGUGCUCAGCUGUAUGUGAACUACGUUAUGGUAACCCGGGAUGUUGUGGCAAGUCUGGGAAAUGUCACAAUGUGUGUUAUUGUUCCACGAGUGGAUAUGCCCACAGAUGUAGUCAUUGCGAUAUAUGAACACGUGUAGAAGACUAAAAAUAUUACAUUUUCUUCAAUUAAAAACUUAAAGAUUUAAAUAUCAUCAUAUUUUUGUUAUGUGUCGUUAAUGCUAGAGUGUCCGUCUACGUUUCUUGUCCAUUGUUCUUCGCUUUUUGUCUUCUCUUGCUUUCUUUAUUUUAAAUAAGUUGAGACCAACAUCCAAUUGGGAUUUUAUCUGUUAAGGAUACUAGUUAUAUCCAAAAUGGAAUAUAAAUUUCAGCGCAAAUAAUUUUAAUUUUGCAUUUUGCAUUCAAGAAUAUCCAAACAGAGCAUUU